UACGGAGGAUCCGAGCGUUAUCCGGAAUUAUUGGGUUUAAAGGGUGCGUAGGCGGACUAGUAAGUCAGUGGUGAAAUCCUGCAGCUUAACUGUAGAAUUGCCGUUGAUACUGUUAGUCUUGAGUACAUUUGAGGUAGGCGGAAUGCGGUGUGUAGCGGUGAAAUGCAUAGAUAUACCACAGAACACCGAUUGCGAAGGCAGCUUACUAAACUGUAACUGACGCUGAGGCACGAAAGCGUGGGUAUCAAACAGGAUUAGAUA
rnacentral:rRNA from 1 species